CCACCUGGGAAGUACGGCCGCAAGGUUGAAACUUAAAGGAAUUGACGGGGGAGCACCACAAGGGGUGGAGUCUGCGGUUCAAUUGGAUACAACGCCGGAAAUCUGACCAGGAGCGACAACAGUAUGAAGGUCAAGCUGACGACUUUGCUAGACUUGUUGAGAGGUGGUGCAUGGCCGCCGUCAGUUCGUGCCGUGAGGCGUUCGGUUAAGUCCGACAACGAACAAGACCCAUAUUAUCAGUUGCAAGUUCUUCUUUCGAGGGGAACGCACUCUGGUGAGACCGCUGCUGAUGAAGCAGAGGAAGGAAUGGGCAACGGUAGGUCAGUAUGCCCCGAAUCUCUUGGGCUACACGCGUACUACAAUGUGCGGAACAAUGGGCUGCAACACCGUAAGGUGAAGCCAAUCCUUAAAUCCGCACUUAGUUCGGAUCGAGGGCUGUAACUCGCCCUCGUGAAGCCGGAAUCCCUAGUAAUCGCGUUUCAUUAUGGCGCGGUGAAUACGUCCCUGCUCCUUGUACACACCGCCCGUCAAAUCACCUGAGUCGGGUCUGGAUGAUGCUCCAUUUCUUGGUGGAGUUGAAUCUAAGCUCGGCAAGGGGGGUUAAGUCGUAACAAGGUAUCCGUAGGGGAACCUGCGGAUAGAUCACCUCCUAAA
rnacentral:rRNA from 1 species